rnacentral:rRNA from 1 species
GUUGAAGGUGGCCUGUGAGGGUUGCUGGAGGUAUCAGAAGUGCGAAUGCUGACAUAAGUAACGAUAAAGCGGGUGAAAAGCCCGCUCGCCGGAAGACCAAGGGUUCCUGUCCAACGUUAAUCGGGGCAGGGUGAGUCGACCCCUAAGGCGAGGCUGAAAAGCGUAGUCGAUGGGAAACAGGUUAAUAUUCCUGUACUUGGUGUUACUGCGAAGGGGGGACGGAGAAGGCUAGGCURGCCGGGCGACGGUUGUCCCGGUUUAAGCGUGUAGGGGGUGUGACCUGGUAAAUCCGGUUGCAUAUCAACCCUGAGGCGUGAUGACGAUGCACUACGGUGCAGAAGUAGUUGAUGCCCUGCUUCCAGGAAAAUCCUCUAAGCUCCAGGUAACAUURAAUCGUACCCCAAACCGACACAGGUGGUCAGGUAGAGAAUACCAAGGCGCUUGAGAGAACUCGGGUGAAGGAACUAGGCAAAAUGGUGCCGUAACUUCGGGAGAAGGCACGCUGGCAUGUAGGUGAAGUCCCUCGCGGAUGGAGCUGAAGCCAGUCGAAGAUACCAGCUGGCUGCAACUGUUUAAUAAAAACACAGCACUGUGCAAACACGAAAGUGGACGUAUACGGUGUGACGCCUGCCCGGUGCUGGAAGGUUAAUUGAUGGGGUCAGCCGCAAGGCGAAGCUCUUGAUCGAAGCCCCAGUAAACGGCGGCCGUAACUAUAACGGUCCUAAGGUAGCGAAAUUCCUUGUCGGGUAAGUUCCGACCUGCACGAAUGGCGUA